GACGAACGCUGGCGGCGUGCCUAAUACAUGCAAGUUGAGCGCUGAAGGUUGGUACUUGUACCAACUGGAUGAGCAGCGAACGGGUGAGUAACGCGUGGGGAAUCUGCCUUUGAGCGGGGGACAACAUUUGGAAACGAAUGCUAAUACCGCAUAAAAACUUUAAACACAAGUUUUAAGUUUGAAAGAUGCAAUUGCAUCACUCAAAGAUGAUCCCGCGUUGUAUUAGCUAGUUGGUGAGGUAAAGGCUCACCAAGGCGAUGAUACAUAGCCGACCUGAGAGGGUGAUCGGCCACAUUGGGACUGAAGCACGGCCCAAACUCCUACGGGGGGCAGCAGUAGGGAAUCUUCGGCAAUGGGCGGAAGUCUGACCGAGCAACGCCGCGUGAGUGAAGAAGGUUUUCGGAUCGUAAAACUCUGUUGGUAGAGAAGAACGUUGGUGAGAGUGGAAAGCUCAUCAAGUGACGGUAACUACCCAGAAAGGGACGGCUAACUACGUG
rnacentral:rRNA from 1 species